CGUAGGCGGAUAGUCAAAAAUAUAGUAAAAGACUGAGGUUGACCCUCUUCAAGCUAUAUUCACUAGCUAUCUUGAGUUUUAGGGACGAUUGUGAAUCCUUUAAGUAAGGGUUAAAUUGUUGAUAUUAGGAGACAUUCGAAGGCGAAAGCAAUGAUCGACUUAAAUCUGACGCUAGGUACUAAAGCAUGGGUAUGAAAAGGAUUAGAGACCUUGUAGUCCAUGCUGUAAACUAUGAGUGUUCAACGUCCUAUUGUGGUCUGCUUGUUAAUAAAAAAUAAACUUCUGUUUACGGCUAUUAAUGAAAUAUUGCCCCGAGGGUGAUAGGCAGAAGACAUGAAAGGGGGUUUGAAGCUAACGCGUGAAACACCGCCUGGGGAAUGUGGCCGCAAGGUUAAACUCAAAGGAAUUGACGGAGACUUAUACAAGG
rnacentral:rRNA from 1 species